rnacentral:lncRNA from 1 species
AAUUUCAUGGGAUUUUCAAGGCCCCAUUCGCAUUCACUCAUAUUUUUUCCCCAAUAUUUACACCACGAGUGAAAUUAACGAACCUCACCAUCUAACAAUCCCACUGUUCACAUCCAUCGACCAAGUCCUCCGCCGCCUCGGAGUCGACGUCGUCGUCUGCUCCAAAUCCAUAAACCUCACCCUCCUACGACUCGUCGUUCGAGGCGGCGUCGGCGUCCCCAACCUUCUCUCCGAACCCGAACCCGAAACCGCCGACGACUGGACCCCGCCAAAACAACCGAACAAACCCCGCAAAAACCGCAUCAACCCACCACUCUGUCUCCCUCUUCCUCCAUUCCUCGACCACGAAAUC